GCCAUGAGAGAACAAAUAAGUGAAAGUACCAAGAUUCUUAAGGAAUUGAUCCCUGGUUGCAAUAAGGGUCAGGGAGCUGUUUUGCUUGAUGAGAUCUUUAGUUACAUUCAAUCGUUACAACGCCAGGUCGAGUUCUUGUCAAUGGAGCUUGCUGCAGUCAAUCCAAGAACGAACGCUGCGGUUAAAGCAUUUCCUCU